GACGUAGGGCGCAAGCGUUGUCCGGAUUUAUUGGGCGUAAAGAGCUCGUAGGCGGCUUGUUGCGUCGACUGUGAAAACCCGUGGCUCAACCAUGUGGUCUGCAGUCGAUACGGGCAGGCUAGAAUUCGGUAGGGGAGACUGGAAUUCCUGGUGUAGCGGUGAAAAUGCGCAGAUAUCAGGAGGAACACCGGUGGCGAAGGCGGGGUCUC
rnacentral:rRNA from 1 species